rnacentral:rRNA from 1 species
CACGUAGUUAGCCGUCCCUUUCUGGUAAGAUACCGUCACAGUGUGAACUUUCCACUCUCACACUCGUUCUUCUCUUACAACAGAGCUUUACGAUCCGAAAACCUUCCUCACUCACGCGGCGUUGCUCGGUCAAACUUCCGUCCAUUGCCGAAGAUUCCCUACUGCUGCCUCCCGUAGGAGUCUGGGCCGUGUCUCAGUCCCAGUGUGGCCGAUCACCCUCUCAGGUCGGCUAUGUAUCGUUGCCUUGGUGAGCCGUUACCUCAACCAACUAGCUAAUACAACGCAGGUCCAUCUGGUAGUGAUGCAAUUGCAUCUUUCAAGCACAUAUCAUGCGAUAUCUAACUGUUAUGCGGUAUUAGCUAUCGUUUCAAUUAGUUACUCCCCCGCUACCAGGCUAGGGUUACCUACGCGUUAACCUCACCCGUUCGCAACUCAGUCCGAGAAGCAAGCUCCUCCUUCAGCGUUUCACUUGCAUGUAUUAGCACGCCGC